GUGAAUGCUAACGUCCAGCCGGGGCGGAGCACCAUC
rnacentral:sRNA from 1 species